UACAAACCUGCCCCGGUUGUCCCGGUUUUAAUCCGGCAGAAUCCGGACAAGAUCUUCACAACGACGUCGUAUUCAUCUAAUGUUUCAUUUCACUCUUCUUCAGCUCAACCAACUAACUUUAUUUGCUCUUUUUGCAACUUGACUUACACAUUAAAGAGAUCUGUUUGUAUAUCUCUAUCUAUCUAUUUAUCUAAACCCAUCACUUUUAAUUUGCUACCCACAACUACUAUAUUAUAUAUAUUGUAUAUAUAUCUUUUUGAAAAGUGUGAUGCAGUGAGUAAAAAUUAAUAAUGGGUUUUUCGAGAUAUUGUUGGGUUAUAUCAUUAGUGAUUGUAUUGCUUAGUAAGAGUCAUACUCAAGUGAGUGCUGGUGACAUUGUUCAUGAUGACAAAUUGGCCCCCAAGAAACCUGGUUGUGAGAAUGAUUUUGUCCUGGUAAAAGUUCAAACUUGGGUUGAUGGUGUGGAAGGUGAUGAGUUCGUCGGCGUUGGUGCUAGAUUUGGAACUACCAUUGUAUCUAAGGAGAAAAAUGCAGAUCGAACAAAAAUUACACAAUCAGACCCUCGUGAUUGUUGCAGCCCACCAAAGAAAAAGCUUACGGGUGAUGUUAUCAUGGUGACCCGAGGUCACUGCCGAUUCACAACAAAGGCAAACAUUGCACAAGCUGCUGGUGCUUCAGCAGUCCUUAUAAUAAAUAACCAAAGAGAACUCUACAAGAUGGUUUGUGAGCCUGAUGAAACUGAUCUAGACAUACACAUACCAACCGUUAUGCUUCCACAAGAUGCCGGUUUGAAGUUAGAGAGAAUGUUGUCAAAUCGUUCAUCAAUUUCUGUGCAGUUGUACUCACCACGAAGACCUGUGGUUGACAUAGCCGAGGUAUUUCUAUGGCUGAUGGCUGUUGGUACCAUCUUGUGUGCCUCUUAUUGGUCUGCAUGGAGUGCUAAUGAAGCAGCUAUAGAACAUGAUAAAUUACUUGAGGAUUUUUCAGGGGACCUUUCAAACACAAAGUUUUCUGGUACAAGUGGCGUCGUGGAAGUCGAUACAAAAUCAGCAAUUUUGUUUGUAAUAAUUGCUUCUUGCUUCUUGGUUCUCCUUUACAAAUUAAUGUCCGAAUGGUUCAUUGAACUUUUGGUAGUCAUCUUCUGUGUAGGAGGCGUAGAGGGAUUGCAAACAUGCAUAGUUGCUUUGCUAUCAAGGUGGUUCAAACAUGCUGCCCAAUCUUUCAUUAAAGUCCCGUUCUUUGGAGCUGUUUCAUAUCUUACCUUAGCUGUUAUGCCAUUCUGCAUAGUCUUUGCUGUUCUCUGGGCAGUGUAUCGUGAAUCUAAGUUUGCAUGGAUUGGUCAAGAUAUACUUGGAAUUGCACUGAUAAUUACAGUACUUCAGAUUGUGCAUGUACCUAAUCUCAAGAUUGGAACGGUUCUGCUAGGUUGUGCCUUUUUGUAUGACAUAUUUUGGGUUUUCAUUUCCAAAAAAUUGUUCCAUGAAAGUGUGAUGAUUGUGGUGGCUCGUGGUGACAAUAGUGGGGAGGAUGGUAUUCCAAUGCUAUUAAAGAUACCACGCAUGUUUGACCCAUGGGGCGGCUUUAGUAUCAUUGGCUUUGAUAUGAUUGGUUGGCGAAAAAGCGUAUUCGAGCUGGAUAUUUCUUGUGGGCGAUGUUUGCUUACGGACUAGGUCUCCUUGUAACUUAUAUAGCAUUGAAUCUGAUGGAUGGCCAUGGUCAGCCAGCUUUGCUAUACAUCGUUCCCUUCACUCUUGGAACCCUUUUGACAUUGGGAAAAAGGAGGGGAGAUCUCGAGAUUCUAUGGUCAAGUGGUGAACCCGAAAGGGAAUGUCCACAUGUCCGGCUUGGCCACUCUCAUGCACCAGAUGAGUAGAAAAGUAGUUAUGCUUAUCUGUAAUUAACAGUGUGUCUAUGUCAAACUUUUUAUCUAUGUAGUAGAAAAAGCCAUUGAAGAUCAAAAAAGUUGUGGUUAACUGAGCCUAACUUUCAUGAUCAAGAAAUGUUGUGCAUAUGCUGAUUUAUGUUACAUUCAUCCUCUCUUUCCUUCCAUCCGAUGAACUAUGGAAUUGACUCGUCGUGUUAGCUCGGUUUUGGAUUGUGCAAGGAAAUGUCAUGGAUGUAUUUGUUCAAUCGAUAGUAGUAUUAUACAAAA